GAUGAGAUUUCCCAUCGCGCGAAGCGAGUAAGACCCCUCGGAGAUGACGAGGUAGAUAGGUCUGGAGUGGAAGCGCAGUGAUGCGUGGAGCGACCAGAUCCUAAUCGGUCGAGGGCUUAACCAA
rnacentral:rRNA from 1 species